CGAACGGUGAAGCAGAGCUUGCUCUGUGGAUCAGUGGCGAACGGGUGAGUAWGAGUGGGSAACCUGCCCCGGACUCUGGGAUAAGCGCUGGAAAUGGCGUCUAAUACUGGAUACGCACCAGGACCGCAUGGUCAUUGGUGGGAAAGAUUUUUUGGUUCGGGAUGGGCUCGCGGCCUAUCAGCUUGUUGGUGAGGUAAUGGCUCACCAAGGCGUCGACGGGUAGCCGGCCUGAGAGGGUGACCGGCCACACUGGGACUGAGACACGGCCCAGACUCCUACGGGAGGCAGCAGUGGGGAAUAUUGCACAAUGGGCGGAAGCCUGAUGCAGCAACGCCGCGUGAGGGAUGACGGCCUUCGGGUUGUAAACCUCUUUUAGCAGGGAAGAAGCGAGAGUGACGGUACCUGCAGAAAAAGCGCCGGCUAACUACGUGCCAGCAGCCGCGGUAAUACGUAGGGCGCAAGCGUUAUCCGGAAUUAUUGGGCGUAAAGAGCUCGUAGGCGGUCUGUCGCGUCUGCUGUGAAAACCCGAGGCUCAACCUCGGGCCUGCAGUGGGUACGGGCAGACUAGAGUGCGGUAGGGGAGAUUGGAAUUCCUGGUGUAGCGGUGGAAUGCGCAGAUAUCAGGAGGAACACCGAUGGCGAAGGCAGAUCUCUGGGCCGUAACUGACGCUGAGGAGCGAAAGGGUGGGGGAGCAAACAGGCUUAGAUACCCUGGUAGUCCACCCCGUAAACGUUGGGAACUAGUUGUGGGGGCCUUUCCACGGUCUCCGUGACGCAGCUAACGCAUUAAGUUCCCCGCCUGGGGAGUACGGCCGCAAGGCUAAAACUCAAAGGAAUUGACGGA
rnacentral:rRNA from 1 species